UACGUAGGGACCAAGCGUUGUCCGGAAUCAUUGGGCGUAAAGAGCGUGUAGGCGGCUUGUUAAGUCUUGCGUGAAAUCUCGGGGCUCAACCCCGAGCGGUCGUGAGAAACUGGCAGGCUAGAGUGCGGGAGAGGAGAGUGGAAUUCCUGGUGUAGCGGUGGAAUGCGCAGAUAUCAGGAGGAACACCCGUGGCGAAGGCGGCUCUCUGGAACGCGACUGACGCUGAGACGCGAAAGCGUGGGGAGCGAACAGG
rnacentral:rRNA from 1 species